rnacentral:snRNA from 1 species
GUGCUCUAUUUGGCAGCACAUAUACUAAAAUUGGAAUGAUAUGAAGAAGAUUAGCAUUGCCCCUACACAACAAUGACACACAAACUCAUGAAGUGUUCCAUAUUUAA